GAGGGGCAGCGGGAUUGAAGCUUGCUUCAAUUGCCGGCGACCGGCGCACGGGUGAGUAACGCGUAUCCAACCUUCCGUACACUCAGGGAUAGCCUUUCGAAAGAAAGAUUAAUACCUGAUGGUAUGAUGAGAUUGCAUGAUAGCAUCAUUAAAGAUUCAUCGGUGUACGAUGGGGAUGCGUUCCAUUAGGUAGUAGGCGGGGUAACGGCCCACCUAGCCUACGAUGGAUAGGGGUUCUGAGAGGAAGGUCCCCCACAUUGGAACUGAGACACGGUCCAAACUCCUACGGGAGGCAGCAGUGAGGAAUAUUGGUCAAUGGACGAGAG
rnacentral:rRNA from 1 species